CGGGACUGGUGAGUAACGCGUGGGUAACCUGCCCUGUACAGGGGGAUAACAGUUAGAAAUGACUGCUAACACCGCAUAAGCGCACGGUAAGGCAUCUUAGUGUGUGAAAAUAUUCAUAGGUACAGGAUGGGCCCGCGUCUGAUUAGCCAGUUGGCAGGGUAACGGCCUACCAAAGCGACGAUCAGUAGCCGGCUUGAGAGAGUGAACGGCCACAUUGGGACUGAGACACGGCCCAAACUCCUACGGAAGGCAGCAG
rnacentral:rRNA from 1 species